rnacentral:tRNA from 1 species
GCGGGUAUGGCGGAAUUGGCAGACGUGCCAGACUUAGGAUCUGGUGGAUUUAUCCGUGCAGGUUCAAAUCCUGUUACCCGCA